AACGUACCGGUAAUUGGGGACAACCGCCGAAAGGCCGGCUAAUACCGCAUACGCUCUGAGGAGGAAAGCGGGGGACCUACGGGCCUCGCGUUAUCCGAGCGACCAAUGACUGAUUAGCUAGUUGGCGGGGUAAAGGCCCACCAAGGCGACGAUCAGUAGCGGGUCUGAGAGGACGAUCCGCCACACUGGGACUGAGACACGGCCCAGACUCCUACGGGAGGCAGCAGUGGGGAAUUUUGGACAAUGGGGGCAACCCUGAUCCAGCCAUGCCGCGUGUCUGAAGAAGGGCUUCGGGUUGUAAAGGACUUUUGUUAGGGAAGAAAAGGAAAGUGUUAAUACCACUUUUUGCUGACGUACCUAAAGAAUAAG
rnacentral:rRNA from 1 species